rnacentral:rRNA from 1 species
AUUGAACGCUGGCGGCAGGCCUAACACAUGCAAGUCGAGCGAGCGGCGGACGGGUGAGUAAGGUAUGGGGACUGCCCGAUAGAGGGGGAUAACUACUGGAAACGGUGGCUAAUACCGCAUCCUGUCGGCUAAGCCAUAUGGGAGUAGCUCGUAGGUAAGGUAAUGGCUUACCUAGGCGACGAUCCGUAGCUGGUCUGAGAGGAUGAUCAGCAACACUGGGACUGAGACACGGCCCAGACUCCUACGGAGGCAGCAGUGGGGAAUAUUGCACAAUGGGCGCAAGCCUGAUGCAGCCAUGCCGCGUGUAUGAAGAAGGCCCUAGGGUUGUAAAGUACUUUCAGUCGGGAGGCGUUACCGACAGAAGAAGCACCGGCUAACUCCGUGCCAGCAGCCGCGGUAAUUC